GCAGCUGUAGCUCAUCGGUAGAGCGCGCCCCUGUCACGGGCGAGGCAGCGGGAUCAACACCCGUCAGCUGCG
rnacentral:tRNA from 6 species